rnacentral:rRNA from 1 species
UACGGGGGGGGCAAGCGUUGUUCGGAAUUAUUGGGCGUAAAGAGCUCGUAGGCGGUUUGUCGCGUCUGCCGUGAACGUCCGGGGCUCAACUCCGGAUCUGCGGUGGGUACGGGCAGACUAGAGUGAUGUAGGGGAGACUGGAAUUCCUGGUGUAGCGGUGAAAUGCGCAGAUAUCAGGAGGAACACCGAUGGCGAAGGCAGGUCUCUGGGCAUUAACUGACGCUGAGGAGCGAAAGCAUGGGGAGCGAACAGG